rnacentral:rRNA from 1 species
UUGAACGCUGGCGGCAGGCUUAACACAUGCAAGUCGAGCGAAGAUGAGGUGCUUGCACCUUAUCUUAGCGGCGGACGGGUGAGUAAUGCUUAGGAAUCUGCCUAUUAGUGGGGGACAACAUUUCGAAAGGAAUGCUAAUACCGCAUACGCCCUACGGGGGAAAGCAGGGGAUCUUCGGACCUUGCGCUAAUAGAUGAGCCUAAGUCGGAUUAGCUAGUUGGUGGGGUAAAGGCCUACCAAGGCGACGAUCUGUAGCGGGUCUGACAGGAUGAUCCGCCACACUGGGACUGAGACACGGCCCAGACUCCUACGGGAGGCAGCAGUGGGGAAUAUUGGACAAUGGGGGGAACCCUGAUCCAGCCAUGCCGCGUGAGUGAAGAAGGCCUUCGGGUUGUAAAGCUCUUUCAGACGGAAAGAAAACGCAUCGGUGAAUACCCGGUGUGGAUGACGGUACCGUAAGAAGAAG